rnacentral:rRNA from 1 species
GACGAACGCUGGCGGCGUGCCUAAUACAUGCAAGUCGAACGCAGUGGGGACGGGUGCGUAACCCGUGGGUAAACUCACCAUCAGAGGGGAUAACACUUGGAAACCGGUGCUAAACCGAUACUGAUGGAUGGCCCCGCGGUGCAUUGGCUAGUUGGUGAGGUAAGGGCUCACCAAGGCCACGAUGCAUAGCCGACCUGAGAGGCGGAUCGGCCACACUGGGACUGAGACACGGCCCAGACUCCGACGGGAGGCAGCAGUAGGGAAUCUUCGGCAAGGGACGAAAGUCUGACCGAGCAACGCCGCGUGAGUGAAGAAGGUUUUCGGAUCGUAAAACUCUGGUGUUAGAGAAGCGGUAUCUAACCAGAAAGCCACGGCUAACUACGUGCCAGCAGCCGCGGUAAUUC